rnacentral:rRNA from 1 species
UACGUAGGGUGCAAGCGUUGUCCGGAAUUAUUGGGCGUAAAGAGCUUGUAGGCGGUUUGUCGCGUCUGCUGUGAAAUUUCGGGGCUCAACCCCGAACUUGCAGUGGGUACGGGCAGACUAGAGUGUGGUAGGGGAGACUGGAAUUCCUGGUGUAGCGGUGAAAUGCGCAGAUAUCAGGAAGAACACCGACGGCGAAGGCAGCUCGCUGGGACGGUACUGACGCUGAGGCGCGAAAGCGUGGGGAGCGAACAGG